GUUCUCUGGAACUCGCUGUAUGAAAUGGGAUUCUAACGGACCAUCAAGAUACCUGGGGUUGCAAGUUGGAUGCAUCACACUGGAGUCAAACUUUGUGUGCUAGAAGAUCCAAUACCCGUUCAACAUACAGAUAACUCCUGGGAGGCAAAUGGAGACUUCAAACUUCUCUUCAAACUGACUGCCCAAAUUAAGUUGUCCUGGCCCAGAGAAGCAGCAAAAUCAGAGGGAGCGAUGACACGGCUGAUAUUAGGACCAGCUGCAUUGAUCAAUGCUACUCUGGCACCACCCAAUCAGUGGAGACCAGAGGGGGCAUACCUCCUAGGUAAAUGCUCUAUUGGAGAGUAUUAUGCUAAGUGAAAUAAGCCAGUUAGAGAAAGACAAGUACUGUAUAAUUUCAGUCACAUGUGAAUGUAAUGAACAAAGUAAACUAACAAAAUAGAAACAGACUCAUACUUAG